GUACAGACUCUUGGUACAGUGAAACCGCGAAAGGCUCAUUAGAUCGGUCAAUGUUUACUGGAUCGUACAAUCCUACUUGGAUAACUGUGGCAAUUCUAGAGCUAAUACAUGCAACGAAGCUCCGACCUUCGGGUGAGAGCGCUUUUAUUAGAUCAAGACCAAUCGGGAGUUGUCGGCUCCCGUCCCAUUGGUGACUCUGGAUAACUUUGGGCUGAUCGCACGGCCUCGAGCUGGCGACGUAUCCAUCAAAUGUCCGCCCUAUCAACUUUCGACGGUACGUGAUAUG
rnacentral:rRNA from 1 species